UGAGACAGAGAAAGGUGUUAUGGAGA
rnacentral:piRNA from 1 species